rnacentral:misc_RNA from 1 species
UCCGUAGGUGAACCUGCGGAAGGAUCAUUAGAGAGCGUGCUCUUCGGGGCCGAACCUCUCACCCCUGUGUAUCUACCUCUGUUGCUUUGGCGUGGCGCCGCCCCCGUUAGGACGGCCCUCAGGCCGCCCGGGGGCGGGGUGGGCGCUCCCCACCCUGGCCCGCCAGAGGGCUCACAAAACCCCUUAUGUGAACGUCGGAGUGUUAGCGAGUAGACCAAAACUUUCAACAACGGAUCUCUUGGUUCUGGCGUCGAUGAAGAACGCAGCGAAAUGCGAUAAGUAGUGUGAAUUGCAGAAUUCAGCGAACGAUCGAAUCUUUGAACGCACAUUGCGCCCUAUGGUAGUCCGUAGGGCACGCCUAUUCGAGCGUCAUGUAGCCCGUCAAGCCCCGCUUGGUAUUGGGCCCCGCCCCCCGUAGGCGGGCCUCAAAUGCAUCCGGUAGGCGGCGCCCCCUCUAGUGCACCAGAAGUCAGCUUCACGCGCGACAAGGAGGCCGCGGCCGUCCGAGAGAGCCCUAUCGUUUGACCUCGGAUUAGGCGGGAGGACCCGCUGAACUUAAGCAUAUCAAUAAGCGGAGGAAAAGAAACCAACAGGGAUUGCCCCAGUAACGGCGAGUGAAGCGGCAACAGCCCAAAUUUGAAAUCCGGCUCCCGGGCCUGAGUUGUAAUUUGCAGAGGAUGCCUCGGCAUAAGCCCCGAUCGAAGUUCCUUGGAACAGCGACAUCACAGAGGGUGAGAAUCCCGUCCGUGGUCGGUGGCGGCAGCCGUGUGAGGCCCCUUCGACGAGUCGAGUUGUUUGGGAAUGCAGCUCUAAAUGGGAGGUAAAUUUCUUCCAAGGCUAAAUAUCAGCCAGAGACCGAUAGCGCACAAGUAGAGUGAUCGAAAGGUGAAAAGCACUUUGAAAAGAGGGUUAAACAGCACGUGAAAUUGUUGAAAGGGAAGCGCUUGCAACCAGAGUUGCCCGGGUGGUUCAGCCGACCUUCUGGCUCGGUGCACUUCCGCUCGGGCAGGCCAGCAUCAGUUCGGCCGGCCGGAUAAAGGCCGUGGGAAUGUGGCACCCUCGGGUGUGUUAUAGCCCGUGGCACAAUACGGCCUGGCUGGACUGAGGUCCGCGCCUCGGCAAGGAUGCUGGCGUAAUGGUUGUCAGCGGCCCGUCUUGAAACACGGACCAAGGAGUCUAACAUCUGUGCGAGUGUUCGGGUGUCAAACCCGUGAGCGUAAUGAAAGUGAACGGAGGUGGGAGCCCUCGGGCGCACCAUCGACCGAUCCUGAUGUCCUCGGAUGGAUUUGAGUAUGAGCAUAGCUGUUGGGACCCGAAAGAUGGUGAACUAUGCGUGAAUAGGGUGAAGCCAGAGGAAACUCUGGUGGAGGCUCGCAGCGGUUCUGACGUGCAAAUCGAUCGUCAAA